rnacentral:lncRNA from 1 species
CCCCUCCUCCUGAUUACACUGCCCAUAUCUUCAGUGCCACCCUGCUCCUCUUUGUGGGCACAGUGAUGGAUCACACGGCUCUUCCCAAAGGGUCACUGCUGGUUCACUUGUGUGGUUGCUCUUUCACUCUCUGACAUCUGAAAUCACUCACUUCACGGCAGUUGUCUAGCUAUGCCAUGGUUUCUCACUUUCUGAUGCCUUUAGGCAUCCUAUCCCCUCUGGCAGAGCAUGAUUUUGUUAUUGUUGUUCCUGUUUUGACACAGGGUCUCACUGAGUCACUGAGCUGCCCAGCCUGAGUUCAAACCUGCAGUGAUCCUCUUGUCUCACCCUCCAAGACUGCUGGGAUUACAGUCGUGUGUCACCAUGCUCUCUCCAGCGUUUUAUGUUAACAAACAUGAGAACCCGUAGAGCAGCUGUAUUGGUCCAGUCAACUAGGUAGUUCCGACGAAGGGGGAACAUCAACCACGACUUGCAGUUUAUUCUGAUCAUCUCCCUGAAGUGAGGAUACCUACCAAGGAAGUCCUGAUGCACUUGACAAGGGGAGCAGGCUGCAUAUCCAGGAAGAUGUUUGCUGUAACAACUCUUCAUGUUCCUGUGACCACCUUAGAAAGGAAUCACAUUCUCUUUUAAGUGGUGAGGAAUACAUUCCAAAGGAGGAAGAGGUUCACAUAUGGAGCUCCCAUCCGAAACAAGAGAGAAACAAAACAACAUCUCGUAAGUCUCUCCUGGAUUCUUAUGCUCAAGCUCU